AGUGAACGCUGGCGGCAGGCCUAACACAUGCAAGUCGAACGGCAGCACAGUAAGAGCUUGCUCUUACGGGUGGCGAGUGGCGGACGGGUGAGGAAUACAUCGGAAUCUACUUUUUCGUGGGGGAUAACGUAGGGAAACUUACGCUAAUACCGCAUACGACCUACGGGUGAAAGCAGGGGAUCUUCGGACCUUGCGCGAUUGUAUGAGCCGAUGUCGGAUUAGCUAGUUGGCGGGGUAAAGGCCCACCAAGGCGACGAUCCGUAGCUGGUCUGAGGGGAUGAUCAGCCACAGUGGAACUGAGACGCGGUCCAGACUCCUACGGGAGGCAGCAGUGGGGAAUAUUGGACAAUGGGCGCAAGCCUGAUCCAGCCAUACCGCGUGGGUGAAGAAGGCCUUCGGGUUGUAAAGCCCUUUUGUUGGGAAAGAAAAGCAGCAGGUUAAUACCCCGCUGUUCUGACGGUACCCAAAGAAUAAGCACCGGCUAACUUCGU
rnacentral:rRNA from 1 species